rnacentral:rRNA from 1 species
GCCAACUACGUGCCAGCAGCCGCGGUAAUACGUAGGGUGCGAGCGUUGUCCGGAAUUACUGGGCGUAAAGAGCUCGUAGGCGGUUUGUCGCGUCGUCUGUGAAAACCCGCAGCUCAACUGCGGGCUUGCAGGCGAUACGGGCAGACUUGAGUACUGCAGGGGAGACUGGAAUUCCUGGUGUAGCGGUGAAAUGCGCAGAUAUCAGGAGGAACACCGGUGGCGAAGGCGGGUCUCUGGGCAGUAACUGACGCUGAGGAGCGAAAGCGUGGGUAGCGAACAGGAUUAGAUACCCCUGUAGUC